AUUGAACGCUGGCGGCAUGCCUUACACAUGCAAGUCGAACGGCAGCACGGGUGCUUGCACCUGGUGGCGAGUGGCGAACGGGUGAGUAAUACAUCGGAACAUGUCCUGUAGUGGGGGAUAGCCCGGCGAAAGCCGGAUUAAUACCGCAUACGAUCUACGGAUGAAAGCGGGGGACCUUCGGGCCUCGCGCUAUAGGGUUGGCCGAUGGCUGAUUAGCUAGUUGGUGGGGUACAGGCCUACCAAGGCGACGAUCAGUAGCUGGUCUGAGAGGACGACCAGCCACACUGGGACUGAGACACGGCCCAGACUCCUACGGGAGGCAGCAGUGGGGAAUUUUGGACAAUGGGCGAAAGCCUGAUCCAGCAAUGCCGCGUGUGUGAAGAAGGCCUUCGGGUUGUAAAGCACUUUUGUCCGGAAAGAAAUCCUUGGCCCUAAUACGGUCGGGGGAUGACGGUACCGGAAGAAUAAGCACCGGCUAACUACGU
rnacentral:rRNA from 1 species